GGGGAUUUAGCGCAGUGGUAGAGCGCUUGCCUAGCAAGUGCAAGGCCCUGGGUUCGAUCCCCAGCUCCG
rnacentral:tRNA from 1 species